UACGUAGGGUGCGAGCGUUAAUCGGAAUUACUGGGCGUAAAGCGUGCGCAGGCGGUUUUGUAAGCCAGAUGUGAAAGCCCCGGGCUUAACCUGGGAAUGGCAUUUGGGACUGCAAGGCUUGAGUGCGGCAGAGGAGACUGGAAUUCCCGGUGUAGCGGUGAAAUGCGCAGAUAUCAGGAAGAACACCCGUGGCGAAGGCGGUUCUCUGGGACGGUACUGACGCUGAGACGCGAAAGCGUGGGGAGCGAACAGG
rnacentral:rRNA from 1 species